rnacentral:rRNA from 1 species
AACGAACGCUGGCGGCGCGCCUAAUACAUGCAAGUCGAGCGAGAAAGUGUAGCAAUACACUUGUAAAGCGGCGAACGGGUGAGGAAUACAUGGGUAAUCUACCAUCGAGUGGGGAAUAACCAACCGAAAGGUUGGCUAAUACCGCGUACGCCUCCGAGUCUUCGGGUUCGGAGGGAAGCUGCACUGUGAGUGUAGCGCUCUUUGAUGAGCUCAUGUCCUAUCAGCUUGUUGGUAGGGUAAUGGCCUACCAAGGCUUUGACGGGUAGCUGGUCUGAGAGGACGAUCAGCCACACUGGCACUGCGACACGGGGCCAGACUCCUACGGGAGGCAGCAGUAAGGAAUAUUGCGCAAUGGGCGAAAGCCUGACGCAGCGACGCCGCGUGGGGGAUGAAGGUCUUCGGAUUGUAAACCCCUUUCGGAAGGAAGAUGGAACGAGCAAUCGUUCGGACGGUACCUCCAGAAGCAGCCACGG